CUGAAUAACUCUGCUGAUCGCACAGUCGAGUACUGGCGAUGAAUCUUUCAAGUGUCUGCCUUAUCAACUUUCGAUGGUAGUUUACAUGCCUACCAUGGUUAUAACGGGUAACGGAGAAUAAGGGUUCGACUCCGGAGAGGGAGCCUGAGAAAUGGCUACCACAUCCAAGGAAGGCAGCAGGCGCGCAAAUUACCCACUCUCGGCACGAGGAGGUAGUGACGAAAAAUAACGAGAUGUUUCUCUGUGAGAUUCAUCAUCGGAAUGGGUACAACCCAAAUCCUUUAACGAGGAACGAUUGGAGGGCAAGUCUGGUGCCAGCAGCCGCGGUAAUUCCAGCUCCAAUAGCGUAUAUUAAAGUUGUUGCGGUUAAAAAG
rnacentral:rRNA from 1 species